rnacentral:rRNA from 1 species
AUUGAACGCUGGCGGCAGGCCUAACACAUGCAAGUCGAGCGGAUGAAGGGAGCUUGCUCCUGGAUUCAGCGGCGGACGGGUGAGUAAUGCCUAGGAAUCUGCCUGGUAGUGGGGGAUAACGUCCGGAAACGGGCGCUAAUACCGCAUACGUCCUGAGGGAGAAAGUGGGGGAUCUUCGGACCUCACGCUACCAGAUGAGCCUAGGUCGGAUUAGCUAGUUGGUGGGGUAAAGGCCUGCCAAGGCGACGAUCCGUAACUGGUCUGAGAGGAUGAUCAGUCACACUGGAACUGAGACACGGUCCAGACUCCUACGGGAGGGAGCAGUGGGGGAUGUUGGACAAUGGGCGAAAGCCUGAUCCAGCCAUGCCGCGUGUGUGAAGAAGGUCUUCGGAUUGUAGAGCACUUUAAGUUGGGAGGAAGGGCAGUAAGUUAAUACCUUGCUGUUUUGACGUUACCAACAGAAUAAGCAUCGGCUAACUUCGUG